rnacentral:rRNA from 1 species
AGGCCACUGCUAUGGGGGUCCGACUAAGCCAUGCGAGUCAUGGGGGUGUCCCUUUGGGACACCACCGGCGGACGGCUCAGUAACACGUCGGUAACCUACCCUCGGGAGGGGGAUAACCCCGGGAAACUGGGGCUAAUCCCCCAUAGGCCUGAGGUACUGGAAGGUCCUCAGGCCGAAAGGGGCAUCUGCCCGCCCGAGGAUGGGCCGGCGGCCGAUUAGGUAGUUGGUGGGGUAACGGCCCACCAAGCCGAAGAUCGGUACGGGCCAUGAGAGUGGGAGCCCGGAGAUGGACACUGAGACACGGGUCCAGGCCCUACGGGGCGCAGCAGGCGCGAAACCUCCGCAAUGCGGGCAACCGCGACGGGGGGACCCCCAGUGCCGUGGCAUCGCCACGGCUUUUCCGGAGUGUAAAAAGCUCCGGGAAUAAGGGCUGGGCAAGGCCGGUGGCAGCCGCCGCGGUAAUACCGGCGGCC